rnacentral:rRNA from 1 species
UAUCUCUGUAGAGUCUGCAUAUCAAUAAGCGGAGGAAAAGAAACUAACAAGGAUUCCCCUAGUAACGGCGAGUGAAGCGGGAAGAGCUCAAAUUUGAAAUCUUCAAGGGUUUCCCUUGACGAAUUGUAGUUUAAAGAAGUGUUUUCUGUUAGAGAGGUGGUAAAAGUUCUUUGGAAUAGGACAUCAUAGAGGGUGAGAAUCCCGUAUUUGAUCACUUUCUACUAACGUUGUGAUACACUUUCAAAGAGUCGGAUUGUUUGGGAAUGCAGUCCAAAAUGGGUGGUAAAUUUCAUCUAAAGCUAAAUAUUGGCGAGAGACCGAUAGCGAACAAGUACCGUGAGGGAAAGAUGAAAAGAACUUUGAAAAGAGAGUUAAACAGUACGUGAAAUUGUCAAAAGGGAAGCGUUUGACACCAGUGUUGUUUUUCCGAAAAUCAAUUAUGAAUGGCUUGACUUUUAAGUUUCAUGACCUUAAAAGCUUGUUUCUUAUUUUUCAUGUCUUUCGUAAUGCACUUUUCGGUUAACAAGUCAACAUCAAUUUCUUUUGUUGUAAAAGGUUAAGAGGAAGGUGGCUUUACUUUCGGGUAAAGUGUUUAUAGCCUUUUAACUCUGCAAUCGGAGAGAUUGAGGUCUGCAGCGUAGAUCCUUCGGGGUUAGAUACAUUUGUGCUAAGUUAUAGCUUUUCAUAGACAACUUGUUGACUAUGUUAAGUCUUGUAAUUUACUCGCAGAUGCUAUUUUACCUACGCUUAGGAUGUUGACGCAUGAGAUAUACGC